rnacentral:ncRNA from 2 species
CAUCCACAUCGUGGCGAUUUGUUACCGGAUUGCGGGCCACGUUAAUCCCUCCGCUAAAAGGUCAGGACCAAGGCCCC